GAUUUAUUGUUCCUGGUUGUGUACCAUUAGACAGAAGUGAUGGGAUCAAUAAAACUUGGAAUUGUCUAACAAGAAAGGGCCAGUUUCUUGCUUAUUAUAUUUGUAAUAACAGAGUCCAUUGGGUAGCACUCCGGUCUGUGAAAGUCAGUGAAUCAAUAAUGCUCUUGUGGUCUGGAUAAUAAUAUACCUUGGCAUGGUGUGAGUGAUGCCAGCAGGUGGGCGGAGAGGCAGGGAAGGAAAGGUCUCAUGCCUUUCAGGUUGACACUAAGAAAGAGGCUUCCAUUCCUUUCCCUGUUCUACCACAUUCUCCUAAUGUGUAUAAGAAAUUAUUCAAAGACAGCAACAGAUUUCCCUCCUGACCUUUAUAGUUGCUGGUUUGGAAUGAUUUUUGGCUGCUUGCUGGAAAAAAAAAUUAUUGCAGAGAUGAAUUGUCAGGACAUCCGCUCCCCUUCCCAUCAGCUUUAUAAACAUUUUGUACUGGAGGCAGUGUGUGUGUGCAGAAGAAACGCUAUGGAAAGUGCUGUAGAAACAAGUGUGGUUUGUUGGCUACCAAAUCUCAAGGCUAUGCUCACUGGUCAGAAUGGUUGGUGUCCAGACCCCCAGCCCCUCAGAUUCUGAGAUGUCUGUGUACCAGGGUAGCACCAGGGAUGGGUUUUCUCUGAGACUGUCUUUUCAUGAUACAGUGUAAAAUGUUUCCCAUGAAAGGGCAGAGCUGAAGAAGCAGUGCAAGUCCAUUUGAAGACCUCUGGAAGGAAACCCCCAGCGGCUCUUUUUUCACUGAACAAGCAUUGUGGGAAUUUGGGGCUCGGCUGUGUAAUUUGUCCUCUUCUCAUUCAUUCAGGUACUAGGAGAGCAGGGCAGUAUGGAAAGGUGCUACUUCAAGGGAAAGGCUUUGAGGUUAUUGCAAAUGGUGGGGGACUGGGGUGGAGUGGGCUACAGGUACAGUGACCAGAAGAUGCUGAAUUCCAAACUGUUUCCUAAAGCCUUUCUUCUGGACUCGACAGUUUUCAAAUCUAAAGAACAUAUUGUGUUGUUUGCAAAGGAAAUAUUGUAAUGGCUUCUUAGUUCAUCCAGGAAAAGAGUCUGUCACUAAUGGGCAUUUUGUAAAAUGAAAUCCUUCUAGGGAGAAGGAUAACUGGUCAGAUUUGAAGGUUAAAAAAAAAGGUCUUGACACUGAUCUCGGUUUGCAGAGAAACAAGAAAUUCUGUCUGACUUCUUUUCAGUGGGAGCUAAAAUUUUAACCACCCCGAUUGCACUCACUUAUAUGAAAACGUUAAUGUUAAACAAAUAGGCAGGGAUUUCUUUUAUUAUUAUUUAUAGAGGAGAAUUUUGCCAUCAGGAAACAUGUUGGCUAAUCUGCUUUGGCCAAAUUCUCCUUAGAGACAGUGAUUAAUAGAAGGAAUGAGUGGAAGAUUAGUAUACGCACAAGGCUAUUCAGGAGUGGGGGUAAAAUGUUAAUGCGGUGACCUUUAAAUCUUCAUUUUUCUUUAUUUCCCUGAAUGCUAAUUAAAGGACAUGUUCAGCACCAGGAGGAAUUUGCAUCCAAGUCCGUCUCCCUGCUAAGUGGUAUUUUGAGAAUUCCGAAGCUUAGUCUCAGAGAAGAGCUGACCUGAACUUGCCGAGGCUCCCACUGCAUUGUAGCUUUUCUCUGGAGAACAAAAACUGCCAUUGUCCAGCAGCUCAUUAGCAUGACUGUACAGCCUCCGGAGUUAGCAAGGUGAUGCAAAAAUAAUAUGACAAGAUCCAUGUCUUCAAUGAGCUACAAUCCUACUGGGACAUGAGACUGUGCUUAUAAUAUGAUGAAAGAAUAAGAAAAUUUUAAAGCUAUAACAGGCAGAGCACAAGAACAAGCAGAGCUAUAACAAGCAGAGCACAAGAAGGAAGAGUGCAGAUCCAGGACUGGGACACUUAACCAAUAAUAAUACAAAUAGUGAGUACUGUUAGUUGAUUUUCCAGGCUCCUCUUCUCACUUGUAAUGGAAUUACAAAUUAUUUUGUUGGUCAUUGACACUAACCCCAGAUUCAGAAGGAGAUUUGAUUAGAGUAGUGUGAGUAUAAUCUCAUUGCUACUUCCAUAGCAAUUGGUUUGGGGUGAAUACUGUUGGGUGACAGCAGAGGGAGAUUAUUUCAUUUCCUGUGAUCUGUGUUCAAGGAAUUAUGGUGUUUUAAUUGCUGCUAGUAGCACUUUACUUUAGGAUGAAACCUGGUACAUACAUGUAAAGCACUUUAAACAGUUCCUGGUGCAAAGUAAAUGCUUAACAUGUGUUCUUUAUUGCUAUGGUUUGAAUGUAUGUGCCCCUCCAAAAUUCAUUUGUUGGAACUUAAACCCCAAGGUGAUGGUAUUAAGAGAUGGAGCCUUUGGAAGGUGACUGAGCCAUAAGCGCUCUGCCCUCAUUGAUGGGAUUAGUGCCCUCAUAAAAGAGCUUGAGGAGCUAGUUCUCCCUUUUUGUCCUUUUGCCCUUCCUCUCUUUCUACCAGAUGAAAACACAGCAGCAACAGGUGCCAUUUUGGAAGCAAGAAGCAGAGAACAAGCUCUCACUGGGCAUUAAAUCUGCCGGCAUCUUGAUCUUGAACUUCUCAACCUCCAGAACUCUGAGAAAUAAAUUUCUAUUAUUUACAAAUUACCCAGUCUAAGGUGUUUUGUUAUAGCAGCUCAAACAAAUUAAGAUAUCUGUUUAUUGCUUUUGGUAUGUGUUUGUGUUUUAAUUUUCUUGGAAGGUAGAGCAGAGAGACAAAAAUCACCAAAUUUUGGUGACAUGGUUGAAGCUCUGGGUCAAACCAAUCUUUGAGUCCAGCCUCUGAACCUCGCAUUAAAGUCCUUUAUAGUUUAGAUUGGUUAGGAUUAGGUCUCUUGAUGUUUGUUUUCACCUUGAGGGUUCCUAACUGCUACGGGGAGUCAGUGUGAUUUAACUCUAAGUGAAGAAGAACAGUUUAGAGGGAUGAUCCUGCACAUCUGCAUGGUGAUUGAAUUUAUGUCUCCUAUAAUUGUAUAUACAAAAUGAAAGUUUGGACUCUACAGGACAGGAGACUUUCCCCAACUUCUACCCUCCUUUAUCUUUUGCUGAUUAGUAUUGCAACAGGCACCUAACCAAACUCUCUGGCUCUGGGCCUGUGCUGUGUCUUCUAAUCUUCACACAGCUGCCAGCAUUAUCUUUAAAAGACAGAUCUUAUUA
rnacentral:lncRNA from 1 species